GACGAACGCUGGCGGCGUGCUUAACACAUGCAAGUCGAACGGAAAGGCCCUGCUUUUGUGGGGUGCUCGUUUGGCGAACGGGUGAGUAACACGUGAGUAACCUGCCCUUGACUUUGGGAUAACUUCAGGAAACUGGGGCUAAUACCGGAUAGGAGCUCCUGCUGCAUGGUGGGGGUUGGAAAGUUUCGGCGGUUGGGGAUGGACUCGCGGCUUAUCAGCUUGUUGGUGGGGUAGUGGCUUACCAAGGCUUUGACGGGUAGCCGGCCUGAGAGGGUGACCGGCAACAAUGGGACUGAGAGACGGACCAGACGGCAACGGGAGGCAGCAGUGGGGAAUAUUGCACAAUGGGAGGAAGCCUGAUGAAGAAACGCCGCGUGCGGGAUGACGGCCUUCGGGUUGUAAAAAGAUGUCGAAUGUGACGAAGCGUGAGUGACGGUAAUGGGUAAAGAAGCACCGGCUAACUACGUG
rnacentral:rRNA from 1 species